GCGCUGCUGAGGGGUCCCAUACUAGGACGAAACGGCCGUCCAGUGC
rfam:Schistosoma mattheei strain Denwood, Zambia genome assembly, scaffold: SMTD_scaffold0003101